rnacentral:rRNA from 1 species
UCAUUUAAUGAUGCCUGUAGAUUAAAUGCACCGAAUACCAUUAAAAGUUCAUAGUUAAGUGUGCUUGGGAUAGAGUAGUACUGGGAUGGGUGACCUCCCAGGAAUUCCUAGUGUUUUACAUGCC